ensembl:lncRNA
AGAAAGGACAAGAAUAUCAGAAUAUCAGUAUACAGAGAAAGGAAUAUCAGCUCAGGAAAGACUUUGAGGAAUAAUUAAGGGAGUGAAAAAAAAAAAAAGUGGUACUGUGCAUUCUGCCAUGAAGAAGACAGAGUGAGGUAAAUUGUUCAGACUGCUUAAGAAAAUCUGUAGAAAAUCUGUUCCACCCUUAUGUUUUCGGUGCCAGCAGAUUUCAGUGCUUUCCAGAUAUCUGGGUCAUACAUCUUCACAGAAUUACAGAACAGUUGAUUUUGGAAAGGUCCUCUGAAGUUCCUCUUCUACAACAGAUUUCUCAGGAUUUGUCCAGUGCAUUUUGACUAUCUCCAAGAAUGGAGAUA